rnacentral:tRNA from 1 species
GGAGAGAUGGCUUAGUGGUUAAGAGUGCUGACUGAUGUUCCAGAAGACCUGGGUUCAAUUCCCAGGCUGACCA